AGAGUUUGAUCCUGGCUCAGGAUGAACGCUAGCUACAGGCUUAACACAUGCAAGUCGAGGGGCAGCAUGGUCUUAGCUUGCUAAGGCCGAUGGCGACCGGCGCACGGGUGAGUAACACGUAUCCAACCUGCCGUCUACUCUUGGACAGCCUUCUGAAAGGAAGAUUAAUACAAGAUGGCAUCAUGAGUCCGCAUGUUCACAUGAUUAAAGGUAUUCCGGUAGACGAUGGGGAUGCGUUCCAUUAGAUAGUAGGCGGGGUAACGGCCCACCUAGUCUUCGAUGGAUAGGGGUUCUGAGAGGAAGGUCCCCCACAUUGGAACUGAGACACGGUCCAAGCUUCUACGGGAGGCAGCAGUGAGGAAUAUUGGUCAAUGGGCGAGAGCCUGAACCAGCCAAGUAGCGUGAAGGAUGACUGCCCUAUGGGUUGUAAACUUCUUUUAUAAAGGAAUAAAGUCGGGUAUGCAUACCCGUUUGCAUGUACUUUAUGAAUAAGGAUCGGCUAACUCCGUGCCAGCAGCCGCGGUAAUACGGAGGAUCCGAGCGUUAUCCGGAUUUAUUGGGUUUAAAGGGAGCGUAGAUGGAUGUUUAAGUCAGUUGUGAAAGUUUGCGGCUCAACCGUAAAAUUGCAGUUGAUACUGGAUAUCUUGAGUGCAGUUGAGGCAGGCGGAAUUCGUGGUGUAGCGGUGAAAUGCUUAGAUAUCACGAAGAACUCCGAUUGCGAAGGCAGCCUGCUAAGCUGCAACUGACAUUGAGGCUCGAAAGUGUGGGUAUCAAACAGGAUUAGAUACCCUGGUAGUCCACACGGUAAACGAUGAAUACUCGCUGUUUGCGAUAUACAGCAAGCGGCCAAGCGAAAGCGUUAAGUAUUCCACCCGGGGAGUACGCCGGCAACGGCGAAACUCAAAGGAAUUGACGGGGGCCCGCACAAGCGGAGGAACAUGUGGUUUAAUUCGAUGAUACGCGAGGAACCUUACCCGGGCUUAAAUUGCAGAUGAAUUACGGUGAAAGCCGUAAGCCGCAAGGCAUCUGUGAAGGUGCUGCAUGGUUGUCGUCAGCUCGUGCCGUGAGGUGUCGGCUUAAGUGCCAUAACGAGCGCAACCCUUGUUGUCAGUUACUAACAGGUCAUGCUGAGGACUCUGACAAGACUGCCAUCGUAAGAUGUGAGGAAGGUGGGGAUGACGUCAAAUCAGCACGGCCCUUACGUCCGGGGCUACACACGUGUUACAAUGGGGGGUACAGAGGGCCGCUACCACGCGAGUGGAUGCCAAUCCCCAAAACCUCUCUCAGUUCGGACUGGAGUCUGCAACCCGACUCCACGAAGCUGGAUUCGCUAGUAAUCGCGCAUCAGCCACGGCGCGGUGAAUACGUUCCCGGGCCUUGUACACACCGCCCGUCAAGCCAUGGGAGCCGGGGGUACCUGAAGUGCGUAACCGCGAGGAGCGCCCUAGGGUAAAACUGGUGACUGGGGCUAAGUCGUAACAAGGUA
rnacentral:rRNA from 1 species